AGAACGAACGCUGGCGGCAUGCCUAAUACAUGCAAGUCGAACGAACACUUCGGUGUUAGUGGCGCACGGGUGCGUAACGCGUGGGAAUCUGCCCUUGGGUUCGGAAUAACAGUUGGAAACGACUGCUAAUACCGGAUGAUGACGAAAGUCCAAAGAUUUAUCGCCCAGGGAUGAGCCCGCGUAGGAUUAGCUAGUUGGUGAGGUAAAGGCUCACCAAGGCGACGAUCCUUAGCUGGUCUGAGAGGAUGAUCAGCCACACUGGGACUGAGACACGGCCCAGACUCCUACGGGAGGCAGCAGUAGGAAUAGUUGGACAAGUGGGCGCGAAGCCUGAUCAGCAGUGCCGCGUGAGU
rnacentral:rRNA from 1 species